rnacentral:rRNA from 1 species
UACGGAGGAUGCAAGCGUUAUCCGGAUUCAUUGGGUUUAAAGGGUGCGUAGGCGGCUUUUUAAGUCAGUGGUGAAAUCUUGCCGCUUAACGGUAAAAUUGCCAUUGAUACUGAUAAGCUUGAGUACAAUUGAGGUAAGCGGAAUGUGUAGUGUAGCGGUGAAAUGCUUAGAUAUUACACAGAACACCGAUUGCGAAGGCAGCUUACUAAACUGUUACUGACGCUGAUGCACGAAAGCGUGGGGAGCGAACAGGAUUAGAUACCCUGGUAGUCCACGCCGUAAACGAUGAUCACUCGCUGUAUGCGAUACACAGUAUGCGGCCAAGCGAAAGCAUUAAGUGAUCCACCUGGGGAGUACGAUCGCAAGGUUG